rnacentral:rRNA from 1 species
AUUGAACGCUGGCGGCAUGCCUUACACAUGCAAGUCGAACGGCAGCACGGGUGCUUGCACCUGGUGGCGAGUGGCGAACGGGUGAGUAAUACAUCGGAACAUGUCCUGUAGUGGGGGAUAGCCCGGCGAAAGCCGGAUUAAUACCGCAUACGAUCUACGUAUGAAAGCGGGGGACCUUCGGGCCUCGCGCUAUAGGGUUGGCCGAUGGCUGAUUAGCUAGUUGGUGGGGUAAAGGCCUACCAAGGCGACGAUCAGUAGCUGGUCUGAGAGGACGACCAGCCACACUGGGACUGAGACACGGCCCAGACUCCUACGGGAGGCAGCAGUGGGGAAUUUUGGACAAUGGGCGAAAGCCUGAUCCAGCAAUGCCGCGUGUGUGAAGAAGGCCUUCGGGUUGUAAAGCACUUUUGUCCGGAAAGAAAUCCUUGGCCCUAAUACGGUCGGGGGAUGACGGUACCGGAAGAAUAAGCACCGGCUAACUACGUG